AAUGUAUGACGCCGUUGAUUUUUUAUCCAACGUUUGAUCAUUCGUCUUAUUUAAAAAAUUUAUGUAAUUAUCAUUUAUUUUAUUAUGAGUUGAUUCGUCAUCAAAUGUUCUUCAAGCAUGACAUAAAUAUUUUUAUAUUUACACAAAAUUUUUAAAUAAAACGAAUGGUCAAACGUUGAUCGAAAAGUCAACGACGUCAUUCAU
rnacentral:pre_miRNA from 1 species